rnacentral:tRNA from 1 species
GAUGUAGCUGAGUUGGUAGAGUGUUUGCCUAACAUUUUCCUAAAAGCAGGAAACCCCAGGUUCUAGUCCUGGCAUC